GAACGCUGGCGGCAUGCCUAACACAUGCAAGGCGAACGAGACCUUCGGGUCUAGUGGCGCACGGGUGCGUAACGCGUGGGAACCUGCCCUUAGGUUCGGAAUAACUCCCCGAAAGGGGUGCUAAUACCGGAUAAUGUCUUCGGACCAAAGAUUUAUCGCCUUUGGAUGGGCCCGCGUUGGAUUAGCUAGUUGGUAGGGUAAAAGCCUACCAAGGCGACGAUCCAUAGCUGGUCUGAGAGGAUGAUCAGCCACACUGGGACUGAGACACGGCCCAGACUCCUACGGGAGGCAGCAGUGGGGAAUAUUGGACAAUGGGCGAAAGCCUGAUCCAGCAAUGCCGCGUGAGUGAUGAAGGCCUUAGGGUUGUAAAGCUCUUUUACCCGGGAUGAUAAUGACAGUACCGGGAGAAUAAGCUCCGGCUAACUCCGUG
rnacentral:rRNA from 1 species